AGGAUUGUGAGUAUCUGGAAGACAAUGGGCGGGAGCAGCCAAUCCCAUCACCAGGUGGAUCCAGAUGUUCACCUGAGAGGAGCCCCCUGUCCCCCCAGGGGCGUUCAGAAGGAAAUCAUGAUGUCCCAUUGGAUAGUCAGAAUGAAAAUACGAUCGACAUUAAAAUCGAGGUUGUGGAGGAAGAAGAGGAGGAGACGUAUCUCAGCGGCGAUCGACAAAUCAAGGAAGAGGAAAUAGAUGUCGACAUCGGCGCAGGUCAGUGAGAACCGCCAAAUCCACCUAUGA